AACCUUUUCAUCUGCUUUAGGGAAGUAUACUUUCCAUUCAUCGACUCAACAACAAUAGAAACCAUUUCAAGCUUUAAUAAAACUUCAAUUGAGAAUCUUUCAAUACAAAGUAGAACAAUAAAAUUCUCAUAGAGAUUCCUUCAGCAUGAAGCGUAAUGAAGAAGGUAAUUAGAUAUGACUUGAAUGAUGAAAAGGAAACAAAAAUACAAUACCUUUGAAAGUUUAAAGAACCCGGAAAGUAUAAUAACACUAAAAAUAUUAUUAAGAAGUUAUUUGAUAUUUGGCAGUAACAACAUAAACCAAUAAAUAAAACUCAACAAAAUUUAUUAACAACUUAUAAGUGAUUACACUGAUGCCACAUCACUGGUAUAGCCAAACAUCAAUCGAAUCAUUUCAAGUCUCUAUUUCGGGAUAAUUACAUAUGCUGCGAAUAUAAAGAAAUGCCAAGAUUGAUGUAUACAAUACAAUACAACGUGGCUAAUUUUUAUUAAUAGUACAACAUUAGCUUCAUACUGAGUGGAAUAUUCUGUUGUGUGUGUUUUUUUUUCAUUAAUACAACAUUUAAUUAAAGAACAUAUUGUAUCUUGGUUUCGCUUAUCUAUGGUUUAGUUUUUAUUUUUAAAAUUAAACUCGGUAAUGCUGUUUCAGUACGUUUUGCGUAAGUUAACGUCAGCAAUAGGGCUAUUUAUCAUCUUGGUCUGGCGUUUCACUAGUUAUUGUGCAAUUAUUGUUUUAAUCAUGUAAAUAAACAUGUUGUUUAUUUAACUUA